rnacentral:rRNA from 1 species
CAGUCAUACCAACGGGAAGUCAACCUCUUGAGUUUGGUCUUGUGGUUUCGAAGAGUUUAAAAGCCUUCGAUUUUGCGAGGAUUGGGCUCUUUUAGUGUACUUUCUCGUACGGUUAGUCAACAUCGGUUUUGAAUGUCAUAAAAUGACUGGAGGAAUGGGGGCUCCAACCUCGAAUUGAAGGGUUAAAGCCUUUGGUAAAUGUGAUGUUCGACACCGAGGAUUGCAAUGAAUACCCUUCGGGGCUAUUCUUCUGAUCUCUGAAACUUUCCCUGGAGGACAAAGGCUUGCUAAUGAUGUGGGGGUAUUCCGUCAAAGGUUAAAACGGAUUAA